UGUCUCUGUGAUUAGCGACCUUGGAGCUGCGCCCUGAUGCCCUGAUCCUCAUUAAUGUUGCAAUUAUGGAUUAUUCAGCUACUUCAGGACUUCUGGAUUGUUUCCACAUUUCUGUGUUUGUAAAUACAACUGCAAUGGAUAUGCAUAGAUACCAUGGGGGUGACCAGCCUCCUCUAAGAUGCCUUCCCAUCACAAGGAACCAGGUGACUCCAGGCAAAGCAAAAGGCCAAGUGAGCACAACCUGAGACGACUGAAACGAUGGGCAUACACGUACCACGGCAUUGGUGUCACGUCAGAGGACCACUUUGUGGAGUCAAUUCUCUCCUUCCACUUUUACAUGGAUUCUGGAAAUCAACUCAGGUUGACAGAUGCACCAGAUUCUCCCAAUGAUUCAAGGACACCAAAUCUCGUCGUUUCUUUGUGAUCAUUAAGGCUUUUGGACAAACUGAAUGGCAAACAGAUCAACAGAUAUCCUCCCACCAUGGCCACGGUUAAGUUCAAGAUAUUGCAAGGGACUGCAUAAUGUGGACUUGAGAGUUUGAACUAAAGAAAUUCCAGAUUUCCCCUCGUGCCUCAUGAGAGAUCUUGCUCUCCAAGCGAGUGUCACAGCUGACAAUGAGGCUGUCACACCUCCUUCAACUUGACUUGUAGUUUAGUCUUCUCGUUUUGCAAUCAUAUUUAUCUCUUGCUUUUCAUCUUUAUUUUUUCAAAACUGUAAAUUUAAUUUAUCUUAUGCAUAUA